ensembl:scaRNA
CAGCACUUGAUACUAACCGAGCUAGCCAUAUCCUAGCCUUGUGUCAAAGGCUUGUGAUGUGUUGUGAUAGCUGGGUUCAAGAAGUGCAAUAUUAAAACAAAAACGAUGAGUCUUUUAAGCCCAGCGUGUAAAGAUACAUCCUGAGUUAUAACUCAGAGGCACAACU